rnacentral:rRNA from 1 species
GACGACGCUGGCGGCGUGGAUUAGGCAUGCAAGUCGAACGGUAUCAUCCUUCGGGGGUGAGAGAGUGGCGAACUGGUGAGUAACACGUAGGUUAUCUACCCUCAAGACGGGGACAACCCAGGGAAACUUGGGCUAAUACCGGAUGUGAGCAACUUUUAGUGUUUGAAAGGUGGCGUAAGCUGUCGCUUGGGGAUGAGCCUGCGUCCUAUUAGUUAGUUGGUGAGGUAACGGCUCACCUAGGCAAUGAUAGGUAGGCGGCCUUAACGGGUGGUCGCCCACACUGGGAUUGAGAUACGGCCCAGACUCCUACGGGAGGCAGCAGUCGAGAAUAGUCUACAAUGGUCGGAAGACUGAUAGUGCGACGCCGCGUGAACGAUGAAUCCCUUCGGGGUGUAAAGUUCUUUUAUAUGUGAGCAGUGCUUCUUAUAUUAACAGUAUGGGGAGAGAGAUAUUAGCAUAUGAAUAAGCAACGGCUAACUCCGUG